GACGAACGCUGGCGGCGCGCUUAACACAUGCAAGUCGAGCGAGAACCAGUCCUUCGGGACUGGGGACAGCGGCGAACGGGUGAGUAACACGUGGGUAAUCUGCCCUCGGCACCGGAAUAGCCCGGGGAAACCCGGAUUAAUGCCGGAUGGCCUCUCUGCCCUUUGGGGCGGUGAGAAAAGGUAGCUUCGGCCUCCGGCCGAGGAUGAGCCCGCGGCCGAUUAGCUUGUUGGUGAGGUAACGGCUCACCAAGGCGACGAUCGGUAGCUGGUCUGAGAGGACGAUCAGCCACACUGGGACUGAGACACGGCCCAGACUCCUACGGGAGGCAGCAGUGGGGAAUCUUGCGCAAUGGGCGAAAGCCUGACGCAGCGACGCCGCGUGCGGGAAGAAGGCCUUCGGGUUGUAAACCGCUUUCAGGAGGGACGAAGCCACUCGGGUUAAUAGCCUAGAGGGUGACGGUACCUCCAGAAGAAGCCCCGGCUAACUACGUGCCAGCAGCCGCCGUAAUAC
rnacentral:rRNA from 1 species